AUUGAACGCUGGCGGCAUGCCUUACACAUGCAAGUCGAACGGCAGCACGGGAGCAAUCCUGGUGGCGAGUGGCGAACGGGUGAGUAAAGUAUCGGAACGUGCCCAGUCGUGGGGGAUAACGUAGCGAAAGUUACGCUAAUACCGCAUACGAUCUAUGGAUGAAAGCGGGGGAUCGCAAGACCUCGCGCGAUUGGAGCGGCCGAUAUCAGAUUAGGUAGUUGGUGGGGUAAAGGCUCACCAAGCCGACGAUCUGUAGCUGGUCUGAGAGGACGACCAGCCACACUGGGACUGAGACACGGCCCAGACUCCUACGGGAGGCAGCAGUGGGGAAUUUUGGACAAUGGGCGCAAGCCUGAUCCAGCCAUGCCGCGUGCAGGAUGAAGGCCUUCGGGUUGUAAACUGCUUUUGUACGAAACGAAAAGGUUUGGCCUAAUACGCUGAACUCAUGACGGUACCGUAAGAAUAAGCACCGGCUAACUACGUGCCAGCCGCCGCGGUAAAAC
rnacentral:rRNA from 1 species